rnacentral:rRNA from 1 species
AGAGUUUGAUCCUGGCUCAGGACGAACGCUGGCGGCGUGCUUAACACAUGCAAGUCGAACGGAAAGGCCCUUCGGGGUACUCGAGUGGCGAAUGGGUGAGUAACACGUGGGUGAUCUGCCCUGCACUCUGGGAUAAGCCUGGGAAACUGGGUCUAAUACCGGAUAGGACCGCAUGCUUCAUGGUGUGUGGUGCAAAGCUUUUGCGGUGUGGGAUGAGCCCGCGGCCUAUCAGCUUGUUGGUGGGGUAAUGGCCUACCAAGGCGACGACGGGUAGCCGGCCUGAGAGGGUGACCGGCCACACUGGGACUGAGAUACGGCCCAGACUCCUACGGGAGGCAGCAGUGGGGAAUAUUGCACAAUGGGCGCAAGCCUGAUGCAGCGACGCCGCGUGAGGGAUGACGGCCUUCGGGUUGUAAACCUCUUUCAGUAGGGACGAAGCGAAAGUGACGGUACCUACAGAAGAAGGACCGGCCAACUACGUGCCAGCAGCCGCGGUAAUACGUAGGAUCCGAGCGUUGUCCGGAAUUACUGGGCGUAAAGAGCUCGUAGGUGGUUUGUCGCGUUGUUCGUGAAAACUCACAGCUUAACUGUGGGCGUGCGGGCGAUACGGGCAGACUAGAGUACUGCAGGGGAGACUGGAAUUCCUGGUGUAGCGGUGGAAUGCGCAGAUAUCAGGAGGAACACCGGUGGCGAAGGCGGGUCUCUGGGCAGUAACUGACGCCGAGGAGCGAAAGCGUGGGUAGCGAACAGGAUUAGAUACCCUGGUAGUCCAA